CAGUAAAGUUACCGGUACUUACAUAUUUACAAAUACGCAAUAUGUACUUCGGAGAAAAAGUUAUUGAAAAGUAACAUAAUAUCGAUUACYCAAGUUAAUAUGCAAAGUAGCAAGCCACACAGUAUUACAAUACCGUAUAUGCCCUUAUCUGUCUAGAUUCAUAUGUUUGAAUUUGUAUGUGUGGUAAAGUAUUUACCUAAAUUUGAUGAACACUGAUACAAUUUGAAUUAAUAACAUGUAAGGAGAGCUAAGCAAUCGAACAUUUUAUACUUUUGCAAGGAUCAAAGUAAGAUAAAGUACUUUCACGUUUUUGGAAAACUUAACCUAUUCAACAAGUUCCUCUUCAACAAACGGCAAUUCUUCCUGGGAAUACAGCGUAAUGGAAGAGCUGUUAAGGGGUGAUGCACAGUCUACAGCUUCGUGAACUGUAAUAAAUUAGUUUAUAAAAAUAAAUAUAAACUUUUUAAAUUUCUAUUUUGUGUUACUAACCUGUGCUCACCUCCACCAAUGUUUCCAAAUGGAAGCAUUUAUAGCUCCCGAGGAUACUAUUUAUUUUAGGGUAGAAUUCCCAUGUCGAAGGGCUGCCGCCAGAGGGACCCAAUAGACUUCCUCUCAUCUCUGUAAAUUUUUUGAAAACUUUUAUAUGAAAUGCACAUGAAUAUUAAAUAAACUUACCUGUAUUUAUUUGUUAA